AGGGAAGAGUUUCAACAUAUGAAGAUGAAGGAUGGACAUUUCAAGCAGAGGAACAGCAGCAUCAAAGGACAAGUGAUAAACAGUAUUGCUGCUUACAAGAAAGCUUGAGUUACAACAUUCUUCUUGAACACUGAUGGAAAUGUCUAACUAAGGUUCUCUGAACUCAUAUGGGGACACAAAAUUAAAGAGAGAAGGACUCUGAGCAACAGUGAAAAAGCUUUGUUUCUGGAACCUGGCAACAUGGGUUCAAAUCCUGACCACAUCCUCAUCAGUUUGACAAUUUGUGAAGACCAUCUGAGACUCAGUUUCCCUAUCUGUAAGAUGGACAUAUAAGUAGUAAUUGUCUAAUAUGGGAGGUUAUAAAGAUUCAAAGAAAUAUUCUAAGUAAAAUAUUUACUGUGACACCUGGUGCACACUGAUCAUUAAAUAAAUGCUUGAUUGUAUGUAUGUGCAAUAUGUCACAUUAUCUGAUUUUUU